AUACGGAGGAUGCGAGCGUUAUCCGGAUUUAUUGGGUUUAAAGGGUGCGUAGGCGGACGAUUAAGUCAGCUGUGAAAUGCCCGCGCUUAACGCGGGAAGUGCAGUUGAUACUGGUUGUCUGGAGUGCCGUUGCCGUGGGGGGAAUGUGUAGUGUAGCGGUGAAAUGCAUAGAUAUUACACAGAACGCCGAUUGUGAAGACACCUCACGAAGCGGUAACUGACGCUGAGGCACGAAAGCGUGGGGAUCAAACAGGAUUAGAUACCCUGGUAGUCCACGCAGUAAACGAUGAUGGCUAACCGCUGGCUCUUUCGGGUCAGUGGCCAAGCGAAAGCGAUAAGCCAUCCACCUGGGGAGUACGACCGCAAGGUUGAAACUCAAAGGAAUUGACGGGG
rnacentral:rRNA from 1 species